UCUACUAAUGGUAAUAGGUGACA
rnacentral:siRNA from 1 species